rfam:Triticum aestivum genome assembly, contig: Triticum_aestivum_CS42_TGACv1_scaffold_500646_6BL
UACAUACUCCCUCCGUCACCAUAUUCUUGUCUUAGAUUUAUCUAGAUACAGAUGUAUAUAAAUACAUCCGUAUCUAGACAAAUCUAAAACAAGAAUUUUGGGACCGAGGGAGUAUUAC